GAACGGUUUCAGAGGAAUUAUAUAUUUUAUUGCUAGUUAUUUAGCCGCCAUAGCACUUUUCGUACCGGAAAAAUUUAUUAAUAUUUCAACCGGAAAAAUAAAGGGUAUAAACAUAGUGGAUAUGCAGUACAAAUUAAGUAGUCAUAUAGCUGAACUCGGCAAUGUUAUCUACGACGUAGAUAUUGACGUUUUCCAAAAUCUGAAUGAAAGACUUCAUCCAGAUGAUCAAAAACAAUACUCCUUUGACAUUUCCAGAGUGAACUGGAAUAAAUUGAUUGCGAGCAGUAUUGCUUGGCUGAGGAAGUUCUACUUUAAGGACUCAUGCAGCGUAACUUGGAUGCACAGAGUAGUGCAAUUAGGGUAUCUAGCUGCAGAAAUAGCGGCGUAUUUCAGCAUAUUCAUUGGAAUUGUUAUUCUUUUUCUUGUUGUUGGUUACUUUUUGGAUGUCGCAAUUUCGUCCGUUUUAAU